rnacentral:rRNA from 1 species
GUUGUAUAGUCAAGUAAUUAAGUGCAUGUGGUGGAUGCCUUGGCAGUCAGAGGCGAUGAAAGACGUGAUAGCCUGCGAAAAGCUCCGGGGAGGCGGCAAAUAUCCUUUGAUCCGGAGAUGUCUGAAUGGGGGAACCCACCUACUUUAAGGUAGGUAUUGCAACAUGAAUACAUAGUGUUGCAAGGCGAACGAGGGGAAGUGAAACAUCUCAGUACCCUUAGGAAAAGAAAUCAAUUGAGAUUCCCUCAGUAGCGGCGAGCGAACGGGGAUCAGCCCAUUAAGUUAUGUGUGUUUUAGUGGAACGCUCUGGGAAGUGCGAACGUAGAGGGUGAUAUUCCCGUACACGAAAGGGCACACAUAAUGAUGACGAGUAGGGCGAGGCACGUGAAACCUUGUCUGAAUAUGGGGGGACCAUCCUCCAAGGCUAAAUACUCCUGACUGACCGAUAGUGAACCAGUACCGUGAGGGAAAGGCGAAAAGAACCCCUGUGAGGGGAGUGAAAUAGAUCCUGAAACCGCAUGCAUACAAGCAGUGGGAGCACCUUCGUGGUGUGACUGCGUACCUUUUGUAUAAUGGGUCAGCGACUUAUAUUCAGUAGCGAGGUUAACCGUAUAGGGGAGCCGUAGAGAAAUCGAGUCUUAAUAGGGCGUUUAGUUGCUGGGUAUAGACCCGAAACCAGGCGAUCUAUCCAUGAGCAGGUUGAAGGUUGGGUAACACUAACUGGAGGACCGAACCCACUGUCGUUGAAAAGCCAGGGGAUGACUUGUGGAUAGGGGUGAAAGGCUAAUCAAGCCUGGUGAUAGCUGGUUCUCCCCGAAAGCUAUUUAGGUAGCGCCUCGGACGAAUACCAUAGGGGGUAGAGCACUGUUUCGGCUAGGGGGUCAUCCCGACUUACCAAACCGAUGCAAACUCCGAAUACCUAUGAGUACUAUCCGGGAGACAGACUGCGGGUGCUAACGUCCGUAGUCAAGAGGAAAACAAUCCAGACCGCCAGCUAAGGCCCCAAAAUCAUAGUUAAGUGGGAAACGAUGUGGGAAGGCAUAGACAGCUAGGAGGUUGGCUUAGAAGCAGCCACCCUUUAAAGAAAGCGUAAUAGCUCACUAGUCGAGUCGGCCUGCGCGGAAGAUGUAACGGGGCUAAAACUAUGUGCCGAAGCUGCGGAUGUAUACUUUGUAUACGUGGUAGGGGAGCGUUCUGUAAGCCGAUGAAGGUGUGUUGAGAAGCAUGCUGGAGGUAUCAGAAGUGCGAAUGCUGACGUGAGUAACGACAAAACGGGUGAAAAACCCGUUCGCCGAAAGACCAAGGGUUCCAGUCCAACGUUAAUCGGGGCUGGGUGAGUCGACCCCUAAGGCGAGGCCGAAAGGCGUAGUCGAUGGGAAAAUGGUUAAUAUUCCAUUACUUCUGUGUAAUGCGAUGAGAGGACGGAGAAGGCUAAAUCAGCCUGGCGUUGGUUGUCCAGGUGAAAGGAUGUAGGCAUGUAUCUUAGGCAAAUCCGGGGUACUCUAUGCUGAGAUCUGAUAGCAAGCUGUACUUGUACAGCGAAGUGGUUGAUGCCAUGCUUCCAGGAAAAGUCUCUAAGCUUCAGUUACACAGGAAUCGUACCCGAAACCGACACAGGUGGUCAGGUCGAGUAGACCAAGGCGCUUGAGAGAACUCUGCUGAAGGAACUAGGCAAAAUGGUACCGUAACUUCGGGAGAAGGUACGCUGUUGUUGGUGAUGGAACUCGCUUCCUGAGCUGACGACAGCCGCAGAAACCAGGCCGCUGCAACUGUUUAUUAAAAACAUAGCACUCUGCAAACACGAAAGUGGACGUAUAGGGUGUGAUGCCUGCCCGGUGCUGGAAGGUUAAUUGAUGGGGUUAGCGUAAGCGAAGCUCUUGAUCGAAGCCCCAGUAAACGGCGGCCGUAACUAUAACGGUCCUAAGGUAGCGAAAUUCCUUGUCGGGUAAGUUCCGACCUGCACGAAUGGCAUAAUGAUGGCGGCGCUGUCUCCAGCAGAGGCUCAGUGAAAUCGAAAUCGCUGUGAAGAUGCAGUGUACCCGCGGCUAGACGGAAAGACCCCGUGAACCUUUACUGCAGCUUGACACUGAACUUUGACCUUACUUGUGUAGGAUAGGUGGGAGGCUUUGAAGCUGGAACGCUAGUUCCAGUGGAGCCGUCCUUGAAAUACCACCCUGGUAAUGUUGAGGUUCUAACUCUGUCCCGUGAUCCGGGACGAGGACCGUGUCUGGUGGGUAGUUUGACUGGGGCGGUCUCCUCCUAAAGAGUAACGGAGGAGUACGAAGGUGCGCUCAGCGUGGUCGGAAAUCACGCGUAGAGUAUAAAGGCAAAAGCGCGCUUAACUGCGAGACCCACAAGUCGAGCAGGUACGAAAGUAGGUCUUAGUGAUCCGGUGGUUCUGUAUGGAAGGGCCAUCGCUCAACGGAUAAAAGGUACUCUGGGGAUAACAGGCUGAUACCGCCCAAGAGUUCAUAUCGACGGCGGUGUUUGGCACCUCGAUGUCGGCUCAUCUCAUCCUGGGGCUGAAGCAGGUCCCAAGGGUAUGGCUGUUCGCCAUUUAAAGAGGUACGCGAGCUGGGUUUAGAACGUCGUGAGACAGUUCGGUCCCUAUCUACCGUCGGCGCUGGAAAUUUGAGAGGAUCUGCUCCUAGUACGAGAGGACCAGAGUGGACGAACCUCUGGUGUACCGGUUGUGACGCCAGUCGCAUCGCCGGGUAGCUAUGUUCGGAAGGGAUAACCGCUGAAAGCAUCUAAGCGGGAAGCCUACCUCAAGAUAAGAUUUCCCUAGGACUUUAUGUCCUCUAAAGAGCCGUUCGAGACUAGGACGUUGAUAGGUUGGAUGUGGAAGCAUAGUGAUAUGUGAAGCUGACCAAUACUAAUUGCUCGUGAGGCUUGACUAUACAACACCCAAGCAGUUG